AGUGAACGCUGGCGGUAGGCCUAACACAUGCAAGUCGAACGGCAGCACAGUAAGAGCUUGCUCUUACGGGUGGCGAGUGGCGGACGGGUGAGGAAUACAUCGGAAUCUACUUUUUCGUGGGGGAUAACGUAGGGAAACUUACGCUAAUACCGCAUACGACCUACGGGUGAAAGCAGGGGAUCUUCGGACCUUGCGCGAUUGAAUGCGCCGAUGUCGGAUUAGCUAGUUGGCGGGGUAAAGGCCCACCAAGGCGACGAUCCGUAGCUGGUCUGAGAGGAGGAUCGGCCACACUGGAACUGAGACACGGUCAAGACUCCUAAGGGAGGCAGCAGUGGGGAAUAUUGGACAAUGGGCGCAAGCCUGAUCCAGCCAUACCGCGUGGGUGAAGAAGGCCUUCGGGUUGUAAAGCCGUUUUGUUGGGAAAGAAAAGCAGCAGGUUAAUACCCCGCUGUUCUGACGGUACCCAAAGAAUAAGCACCGGCUAACUUCGUG
rnacentral:rRNA from 1 species